AGAGUGCUUUGGUAAAGCAGGGCAGUGACUAGCUACGUCAGAGCUUCCAAUAUCCUGUGAAAGACAAAUAUCGACAGUGGUUAUUUGAUAAAAAAAAAAGAAAAGGAAAAUUCAGAUGUCUCCUUGACGACCCCCCCCAUGAUCACAUGACCCUUGGAGCUCAAUAACCACUACAAAGAAGUGGAAGUACUAUUGUUUCCUUAAAGAGGAAAUCCACAGUAGGGGAAACGGUGCCAUGGUCCGCCCCACGGCCGUUGUUAUUGUUUUUGUUUUGUUGUCAAAGUAGAGCUGGGAAGCGUUGUGCAUCAUGGUAAAAGGAUUCCAGCUUUAAACACAGGUUGAUGAUCUCUCUAACUCACCUUAAAAUACAGAAAAAUCCCUGAGAAGAAAUCAAAUGUUAAGGGAUUGUGUCCAGUCAGAGAGGAAGAGGCUCCGUUCCCAUCAAUCUGUCUACGUGAGAAUACAGCGAUAAGCAGACCAAGUGGGGAUUUUUUUGUAUGGAGGUCUAUGAGAGAGGGUUGGAUUUGGUCAAUAAAAUGUUGUAUUGUUAAUUUGCUAAGUGAGACUUAUUUAAUCCAAUAAACGUUUUGUAAUGUUAAGGUUGUUCCAAAUGUAUUGAUAUACAUUGAGUGUACAAAACACUAAUAUUGAGUUGCACCCCCAAUUGCCCUCAAUUGCACCUCCAUGCCCCCCCACAAUUUGUCGGGGCAUGGACUCUACAAGGUAUCGAAAGCGUUCCACAAGGAUUCUGGCCCAUGUUGACUCCCAUGCUUCCCAAAGUUGUGUCAACCUGUGGGACGCAUUGGUGACAACAUGGGCCAGCAUCCCUGUGGAAUGCUUUCGACACUUUGUAGAGUCCAUCCCGACGAAUUGGGUCUGUUCUGAGGGCAAAAAGGUGUGCAACUCAAUAUUAGGAAGGUGUUCCUAAUGUUUUGUACACUCUGUGUAUAUCAAUACAUUCAGAACAACCUUAACAUUAGGAAACUUAUAUUCGAUUAAAUAAGCUUCACUUAGCAAAUUAGCAGUACAACAUUUUAUUGACCAAAUCCAACACUCUCAUAAACCUCCUUAUAAAAAAUCCCCACUUGGUCUGAUUAUCG
rnacentral:lncRNA from 1 species